UUUUUUGAUCGGCCGCUCCAAUAUUUCCCUCCCAAAAGCACCUUACACCUCUACAACUAUACAAACCUAUCCAUCCUCCAUGUUUACACUCAACACACAUGAAUCCACAGUCAAAGACCCCCUCCCCCUCUCCUGAUUCUUUUCGGCAGACACGCCGAAACCGGCGACAACGCUGACGGGUUGUUCCGAUGAAACCCCGACCACAAAUCUCCAAUUCCUUCUCCCGGCUACUCCCUUCCUCCUCUUUUCUCGUCUGAUUGGCAGCCACGGCGACAGAGGGUCGCGGAGUCAAUAAUGAAGGUGAUGAAGAUGGUGGUGGAGCAACGCCGACGACGUCUUCAGGUCGACCUGCGUUGCGGCGUCUGCGGCGGUGGACGACGGUGGUGGUUCACGGCUCGGGUUAUUUCAGUUUAGUCCGCACCGGUCAAACUGGUUCAAAUUGUGUUCGGGUUAGUUCACUCGGGUGAACUCAGGUGACUUGGUUCAGCUUGGUUCGGGUCUCGACUCGAGUUUCGGUCGACAUCAGUUCGGGUUCGGAAGUGGAGGUAGUCGUGGGUUACCCGUGUUUCGGUUCAAGACUUCAAGUUUAGUUUCAAUUCACUUGUUUCAGUCCAUGUUUGGGUCUCGGUUCAGCCUUCACCGAGUCAACUUGGUGUCUUGAGUUCCAGUUCAGUCAGAUUUCGGAUCGGGAUUCACGUCGGAGUUUAACGCGACUCGUUUCGCUAUGAAAAUAUGGAUGAAUGUGUUGAUUGUUGAGGUGAUAUUCAAGAUGAAACAAGAUUUAGGGUGGACUAGAUACACACCUAGAUUAAUCUAUCUUUUAUUGUUAUGAUUUAUGUUGAAACAAUGUUGUUAUUUUUGUUUGAAUCUUGUAUGACAAUUAGUCCUGAAAUGAAAUUCGAAUU
rnacentral:lncRNA from 1 species